rnacentral:rRNA from 1 species
GAUGAACGCUGGCGGCGUGCCUAAUACAUGCAAGUCGAGCGAACGGACGAGAAGCUUGCUUCUCUGAUGUUAGCGGCGGACGGGUGAGUAACACGUGGAUAACCUACCUAUAAGACUGGGAUAACUUCGGGAAACCGGAGCUAAUACCGGAUGAUAUUUUGAACCGCAUGGUUCAAAAGUGAAAGGCGGUCUUGCUGUCACUUAUAGAUGGAUCCGCGCUGCAUUAGCUAGUUGGUAAGGUAACGGCUUACCAAGGAAACGAUGCAUAGCCGACCUGAGAGGGUGAUCGGCCACACUGGAACUGAGACACGGUCCAGACUCCUACGGGAGGCAGCAGUAGGGAAUCUUCCGCAAUGGGCGAAAGCCUGACGGAGCAACGCCGCGUGAGUGAUGAAGGUCUUCGGAUCGUAAAACUCUGUUAUUAGGGAAGAACAUAUGUGUAAGUAACUGUGCACAUCUUGACGGUACCUAAUCAGAAAGCCACGGCUAACUACGUG